UACGGGGGGGGCAAGCGUUGUUCGGAAUUACUGGGCGUAAAGGGCUCGUAGGUGGCCAACUAAGUCAGACGUGAAAUCCCUCGGCUUAACCGGGGAACUGCGUCUGAUACUGGAUGGCUUGAGUUUGGGAGAGGGACGCGGAAUUCCAGGUGUAGCGGUGAAAUGCGUAGAUAUCUGGAGGAAUACCGGUGGCGAAGGCGGCAUCCGUGGACCGGCAUUGACGCUGAGGAGCGAAAGCCAGGGGAGCAAACGGG
rnacentral:rRNA from 1 species